rnacentral:lncRNA from 1 species
CUUUCAGCUUGGUGUCUAGAAGUGGGAUAGAUAGAAGUUGGAUCAGCAAAACCAUUUGCGGUGAGUAGCCUUUUUGUGUCUUAUUUGACGCUGAUUGUCUAUGACCCCCUUUGGUUCAGUAAGACUGUAUCCAGUAGAUAGGAAAGGUGUAAGGACUCUAGUUAUAUUGAGACUGUAAAUAGGUCUCCGGUUUAUUAGACAUUUGGUCUAAAUAUAUAUAGGGGUUCUUGGUAACCCAGGUUAGUAUCUAAGAUAGAUACAGGUUUUUGAGACCAUAAGAGGUCUCCGGUUUAUUAUAGGGUUUUGGUAACCCAGGUUAGUAUCUAAGAUAGAUACAGGGUAUCUCAGGUAGAUACAGGUUUUUGAGACCAUAAGAGGUCUCCGGUUUAUUAAGUCUAUAGGUGUUCUGAGCAGCACGGUUUGUAGAUCUAUAAGUAUAACCCAAACUUCUCUUUCUCCCGGUCACCUUUGUUUGUCUUAAGUGUUUUUUGUGGGUGAUUGUUUGUCUAUAUUGGGGACACACUUUGGUAAGUUAGUAGUGUCCCCACUCUGAGUCAGCAGUAUGGGAAAUGUGAGUUCAUGUCCUGAGUGACCAAUAUAUGUAUGUAUAUAUGUGUGUGUAUAUGUAUAUAUGUGUGUAUAUGUAUAUGUGUAUAUAUAAGAUAGCAGUACUUUUAAACAAAUGGAGGUUUUAAAAAUACAUAGGGAUUAAGGAGAGAACGCAGGUAACUUGUUUUUCUUUGGUUUUUACCAUAUAUUGGGGCUGAUGUGUACUGUAGUCCUUGCUGCUGUCCAGUAGUGAUGGGAGUGAGCGCAGGACUUAUCUUUCUGCAAGAUAGCAGUACUGUAUAUUAGAAAAGAAAUUACUCACAGGUUGUACCUGAUAGACCUACUUAAAUCUUUUUGCUUUAUUCUUUCUGUCGCAUAGAAGUAUAAGUUUAUUACUCUGUUUUAUUGUAAGUUAUUUCACAUGGGAACUGUGUGCCUGGUAUGAUUGUUGCUUUAAAAAUACUAUAAGCCCACUACACUUAUUAUGAGAGUGGGAUAGUGUAAAUGUGUUGCAUUGUUUGCAUGAUGAGCUCAGUAUAUUUUAUAACUGAGACAAAAAGUCACUUCAUUAGUAAAGUUAAUUCCCCAUAUGGGAUUAAUUGUAUAGAAACACCAAUCAGCACAUCUUCCC